rnacentral:rRNA from 1 species
ACGUCGUCUGGGGAAUGGCUCGGCUCGGACGCCGAUGAAGGUCGUGCCAAGCUGCGAUAUAGCUCGGGGUAGGCGCAUGGAGCCUUUGAACCCGAGAUUGCCGAAUGGGACAUCCCGGAUGCUUUAUGCAUUCAAUCCUUCAGGAUGGGGAACGCGGGGAAUUGAAACAUCUUAGUACCCGUAGGAAAAGAAAUCAAACGAGAUACCGUUAUUAAAGGCGAUCGAAAGCGGUAUAGGGCAAACCGAAUCCCUUAUGGAAACAUAAGGGAGAUGUGGAGUUGGAGAUCCAUUUACAUCUUCGCCAAUGAGGCUCGAAGUCUCCUGGAAAGGUACGCCAUAGCGGGUGAUAGCCCCGUAGGGAAACAUUGGAAAGAUGAUUUUUGGAUAUCUCGAGUAGUGUGCGUUGGAUAUCGCGCAUGAAUGUGGGAGGCACUAACUUCCAACCCUAAAUACGUUCCGAGACCGAUAGUGUACUAGUAGCGUGAGUGAAAGCUGAAAAGUACCGUGGAAGCGAAGUGCAAAGAGCCUGAAAUCAGACGACAAUAGCCUUAUAUGGCAAGAAAGGAAAGAAGCAUUUAUUUGUGGACCGCUGUCAUAUUGUCCGUUUCGAAUAACGGGCCAGGGAGUUCCGAUCAAUGGCGAGGUUAAGUGGAUAACCACGGAGCCGUAGGGAAACCGAAUGCCCGCAGUUUACGAGGGGCAAGGUGGGCUCGCCUUCAAGUCAUUGGUGGGAUACCCGAAGCCGGUCGAUCUAUACGUGGGCAGGUUGAAGCCUGGGGAAACCUGGGUGGAGGACCGAACCGAUGCUGAGCUGCAAAUCGCUCGGAUGACCUGCGCAUAGGGGCGAAAGACCAAUCUAGACCGGUAAUAGCUGGUUCCUCCCGAGACUACUCGCAGGUAGACCUUGAGCGAGGUGGAUGAUGGGGUAGAGCACUGAUUGGGUAUUUAGGGGGAGAGAUCUCUCGGUACGCUGUCAAACUCCGAAUCUGUCAUCGCCGUAGACCUCAGGAGUGAGGGCAUCUGGGGUAAUCCUGAUGUCCAAAAGGGGAACAACCCAGCCCAAAGUUAAGGUCCCAAAAUGCCGAUUAAGUGUUAAGCUAAAGGGAGUCCAUGGUCUAAGACAAUUGGAAGGUGGGCUUAGAAGCAGCCACCCUUUAAAGAGUUCGUAACAGAUCACCAGUCAAGAUUGUGGGCCCCGAAAAUGGACGGGGCUAAAUCGGCUACCGAUACUUUGGAACUCCUACGGGAGAUUUGGUAGGGAGGUGUCGUGCGUGGGCAGAAGCAGGGCCUUAAGGUCCUGUGGACCGCGUUCGAAUAAGGAUCCUGGUGGUAGUAGCAGCAUAAGAAUGGUGAGAAUCCAUUCCGCCGAAAGGGCUAGGGUUCCUCGACAAUGUUUAUCAGUCGAGGGUUAGUCGGUCCUAAGGUUCCCCCUAACAGGAGGAAUCGAAAGGGAAGCAGGUUAAUAUUCCUGCACUGACAUUUACUCUGUUCUAUGUUCGACGCAUCGUGGUAGGGCGUGUAGGUGUGCCAAACUAUUCAAGCGUAUAAGCUUUUGGAGAACCGUAAUGGUGAGAAGGAAGUGAAAUCGUUAUGAGGUGAACUUGGUGUUUACUACGUCUGAUCUGCGGUGCCAGUGAAAAUUUCAUAGAAGUCAUAUAUGUUAUCCGUACCGAGAACUGACACAGGUGUCCCUGGGUUAGUAGCCUAAGGCGUCUGGAGUAAUGGAGGCGAGGGAACUCGGCAAAUUAGCCCUGUACCUUCGGUAGAAGGGGUGCCAAAUAUGAAGAUAUUUGGUCGCAGUGACUAGGGAGCUCCGACUGUUUAAUAAAAACAUAGGUGACUGCCAGUCCGAAAGGAUGAGUACAGUCGCUGAAUCCUGCUCAGUGCCGGUAUCUGAAACUCUGGUUCAACAGAGCGAAGGACCGGUAAACAGCGGGGGUAACUAUGACCCUCUUAAGGUAGCGUAAUACCUUGCCGCUUAAUUGGCGGCUUGCACGAAUGGCCCAACGAGAGCUCUACUGUCCCCGCCUUCAAUCCAGUGAAAUCGACGUACUGGUGCACAGUCCAGUUCCUUCUAGCAGGAAGCGAAGACCCCGUGGAGCUUUACUGCAACCUGUCGUUGUUAUAUAGUACUUAAUGUGCAGAGUAGGCGGGAGACGUUACACAGGUACGGACGCAAGUCCGUCACCGAGUCACCGAUGAGACACCGCCCUUUUCGUGCCGUAUAACUAACCGUCUCGAUGGGACACCGAUAGGUGGGCAGUUUGGGUGGGGCGCCACGCGCUCGAAAAGAUAACAAGCGCGCCCAAAGGUCAACUUAGGUAGGUCAGGAAUCUACUGAUAAGUGCAAAGGCAAAAGUUGGCUUGACAUGGUCCGGGACAAUAACGAACCAUGAUGCGAAAGCAAGGCUUAGCGAACCAAUGAACCUCAUUAGUGGGGGUCAUUGAUGACAGAAAAGUUACCCCGGGGAUAACUGAGUUGUCUUCAGCAAGAGCUCACAUCGACCUGAAGGCUUGCUACUUCGAUGUCGUCUCUUCCUAUCCUGGUAGUGCAGCAGCUGCCAAGGGUGGGGUUGUUCGCCCAUUAAAAGGGAUCGUGAGAUGGGUUUAGACCGUCGUGAGACAGGUUUGUUGCUCCCCGCUAGAAGUGUUAGGCGCUUGAGGGGAAGGACCCUUUAGUACGAGAGGAACAAGGGCUCGCAGCCUCUAGUUUACCAGUUGUCUGGCAAGGCAUCGCUGGGCAGCCACGCUGUAAGGGAUAAAGGCUGAAAGCAUCUAAGCCUGAAGCCUACCCUGAAAAGAAGCGCCAUUGAGAUUCCAGUAGAAGACUGGGUUAAUAGGAUUGGUGUGUAAGUAUCGAGGAUUAUUCCUACCAACCUCUUUUGCGGGAAAAGCGG